ACCUGGGUGGCUCAGUCAGUUAAGCACCUGACUUCAGCUCAGGUCAUGAUCUCACGGUUUGUGAGUUCGAGUCCCACAUCAGGCU
rnacentral:tRNA from 1 species